AGAAUCAACGCUGGCGGCGUGCCUAACACAUGCAAGUCGAACGAGAAAGUGGAGCAAUCCAUGAGUAAAGUGGCGCACGGGUGAGUAACACGUGACUAACCUACCUUUUAGUGGGGGAUAACCUAGGGAAACCUGGGCUAAUACCGCAUAAUACCUACGGGUCAAAGCAGCAAUGCGCUGAAAGAGGGGGUCGCGGCCGAUUAGCUAGUUGGCGGGGUAAUGGCCCACAAGGCAGUGAUCGGUA
rnacentral:rRNA from 1 species